rnacentral:lncRNA from 1 species
UGAGCUAGAAUACUAUCGAUAGCAAACGUGCUCCGUUGCCACUCAUUUGUUUUCGAUGAUGGAGUCUCCAAAUCGACGAUCGGCACCGUUGAACAUGAUCUAUACCACUUGAAGUGUUUAGAAAUUAAAUUUCAUAUAUUUUCGAUAUUGUUCUCUUAUCUAUCGAGUGGACACAAAAAUGAAUGGCUGAAAAUGAAUAUUCUAUAAAAAAUGAUGAUAGGAGUCUUGUAAUCAAGAUCAAGAGUAUAGAUCUUGUUUUAAAUUAUUUAAAGAAUUUUCUAACAAACAUUCAAUUGAUUUGGAUAUCUUUACGCUGUUAAACAAGAAAACGCAUCAUAUCGACCAUUAAAAUUACAAAUUUUGAAAUCCUUUGAUCAUUAGUCAAAUGAUGUCGAAAAGAUUUGAAAUUUGAUUUCUAAACACUUCAAUUGUAUAGAUCAUGUUCAACAGUACUGAUCGUCGAUUUGGAGGCUCUAUCAUCGAAAACAAAUGGGUGGCAACGGAGCCCAUUUGCUAUCGAAGGCCACCUCGUGGACCACGUGCAAGCUGGGGUAGUGAACACCGCCAUUUUCCAUGUGGGUUCACACUUGCACCACGUCGCCAAUAACAAAUCAAUUAUAUUCCUUUUUUUCAAACAAAAGUACAAUAAAAAUAUUUUUUUAUAAUCAUGAUUAGACAUACCUCUAAAAUGAGACAUUUGAUUGGUUUAUUACGCCACGUUACCAAUAUACCCGUUGCAUUCUAGAAUUUUUC